rnacentral:rRNA from 1 species
CGUGUAGGCGGUUUGGUAAGUUGGAUGUGAAAGCUCCAGGCUCAACCUGGAGAGGUCAUUCAAAACUGCCAGACUAGAGGACGGUAGAGGGAGGUGGAAUUCCGGGUGUAGCGGUGAAAUGCGUAGAUACCCGGAGGAACACCAGUGGCGAAGGCGGCCUCCUGGGCCGUGCCUGACGCUCAGACGCGAAAGCUAGGGGAGCGAACG